ACAAACAAGAAAUAGAACACCGCCGCCGCCUAUGCACGCCGCCGCCCAUGCGCCGCCUCCUCCCUCCCCACCGACGCGCUGCCUCCUCCCUCCCCGCUAGCGCGCCGCCUCCUCCCUCCCGCCGGCGCGCUGCCUCCUCCCUUCCCGCCGGCGUGCCGCCUCCUUCCUCCCCCGCGGGCGCGCCGCCUCCUUCCAGCCCUGCCGGCGCACCCCCUCCUUCCUCCCGUGCCCGCGCGCCGGCACCCACGGCCGGCCCCAACCACGCGCCGCCGCCCAACUCCGGUUCCAAGCGCCGCCGCCCGACCCCUGGAUUCGCCCGCCGCCCCCCAACCACCGGAUCCGUGUGCUGCGUCCACCCCUGGAACCACGCAUCGCUAGCCGUCCUCCCAACUACUUCUGUCGCGCCACGAGGUUCUCACCCGCCUUCCCCACCUCUGGUUCUCCGAUGGAGCUGGUGGGCGACAGUGGUAAGCUCUUGUUCACACCUUUUUAGCUGCCGCACCUUUGCCUCGGGCCUGCUCCCUCUUGAAUAUUUGGACUGAUGCUUCCAUUGGUGGAGGCUGUGGAAUUCCAGCACCCAACGCGCCGCCACAAGGUUCCGCUUCUUCCCCCCGCCGCUGAGGCCUUCCGCCUCUAGGCUCCGCUUGCUUGCUUCCUACCCAUGUUCCCCUCCCUAGCCAGCUGAACCGCCUUUCUCCAACUCCUUGAACCGCCCUGAGCGCCCUAGCUGAACCUUCAAUCUCUGUCGUUAGCCCCUAGGAGUGACCCAUUUUCGUGCGACCACACACGCAGCUCUUGGCUAGCAGCCAUGCUGGCUGGUCACCUCCAAGCUUGAGGAUACUAGUAGGCGGCUUCUUGUCGCGAGCACACCAAAAUGGAUCUCUGCUUUGGGCCGCGGUGGGAACUCCAGGUUUCCUUUUUCAUCCGCCCCUCUAAUUGUUUUGGAGAACAGAGAUGGGAGCAACCUGCAAUUUGUGCUGCAUGUUCACUAAAAAAGUUUGGAUCCUGACCAGAUUAUUCUCAAGAAAUUGUUUCGACUUGAUAGAGAAAAAGAAAAUGAAGAGAAGGAUUACCAUCUCAUUUGCCUCGAUUUACUAUAAAGAACACAUGUGACAGCAAGUCCAGGAUGAAGUUAAAACAAGAUGCACAAGUUCAUAUUUUCUAUGCUUUUCAGUUCAUCUACUUCCCGAUGGGGUUCUUCGGUGGAGGUUCAACAAAAUGACCAGCAUCAGUUCAUGCCUCCAUCCACCACGCCAUCAGGAACACGAUUGGUGAGAAACACCUUCGUGCUCCUCCUCUCCUACUCUUCAGUUCACAUACUGCCAUCCAUGAAGGCCA